AAAUCAUAAAAUGGUUAUUUCCUUCCACAAAAAGUUAAGACCGCCUUCCGCUUGUACAAAAAUGUUCAAGUUUCAUUUAACAAUAAUUUAGUUUUUAUCGAAUCGGCUUUCAAUCGCAACAAAUAUUUUAUGAAAAAAGAUUUCGAAUUUGCUCGUGUUGGAUAUUGGCUUCUAUAAGCCACUUAUUCACUGACACUCAUAUAUCUAACAGAUAGCCACAAGUGGGCCAAAUACCACUCACAACAUUCCCGAAACCCAUGGCGUGGAUCAUUAAUCAGACGAUUUGCCUUAGUUUCUGGCCAUCGAAAAUCACAUAAUUCACCCAUCAAAAAGGUUCGUUGCCUGUUGGCAAUCUUCCGCCCCGGCUGGAUGGUGAACAAAUUCUUUUCAUUAUAAUGCAAAAAGCGAGCAGAGUGAGUGAAAAGUGAGGCAAGUCAAAUCGGAGAGAGAGGGAGAGAGAGAGGUCGAGUCUCUGGCCAAGCAGAAGGUACGAAAAAUGUCAAAACAAAAAACCGCAAGCCAGACAAGCGCAUAUUUCAAUCGACGCUGACACAUCCUGCUGCGCUAAUGGACCUUAAUUUGUGAACAGCUUUAUAUAUCAUGCGCCUGGCCGUUAAUGUGAUCAUCCACACGAUCUUGUUGACGAUGCCCAGCCACCAUACGAGGCUGGAACUGUUGCGGUGAUUAAGUUUUAUGACGUUUAUCAGGCGCAUACGCUGAAGGAAAGGCACGCGCUUUCCUGGAAACGAAAAUGGAGCGAGUCGCUUAUGGAAAACUGCUCGCAAUGGAAAUGUGAAUGAAAGUAAAGAAAAGCAAAUAGACUGCCCUACCAGAUAUUAGAGAAAAUGUCACCCGAAAUUUCAAAGUGGCGUCACCGCCAACGCUAUCCCAAGUAUUCCAUAUGUACCCCAGCCGAGACUUUCUUCAAAUGCUAAGCCUCUAAGCGCUCUGGUGCACUACAUUCGAUUACAAUGUCUGUUGAUUGUCUCAUGAUUGUCUCGCUCUCAUUGUCGCGCGAUCAAUGUGGAUGUGAAUCGUGCGCUCUCGCUCGCUCACGCUGUUGCCAUCUCGCGCACUCCUUCGGCAAAGAUGAAAGAAAUCUUUAUUGGUUUUUGUAGUGAUUUUAAGUGGAUUUGUGGUUCGAUUCUUAAUGGCAAAGUACGCCGGCAGCAUCAGCAUCAGCAGCAGCAGCAGCGGCAGCAGCACUCAUCCACCUUCACCUCCACUCCGCUCUCAGACCCAUGUCUGUGGUUAUAUCGAUUUUAUUCAAAUUUGUAUGUUUAUUUCUUCUUAUGUGUAAUUAUGAGAAUCUUUCAGAUGUAGACGUA